rnacentral:lncRNA from 1 species
GUGAGGAUAUGGUGGUAUUUAAUGUAUAAAUAUGUGAAAUUGGUGGUUGAAUAUUUGUAAUCUUGAUGAAUCCACCUAUGCCUAAGAUAUGCAUGUAAGGUGUUUGUGAAAAUACCUAAGGGAAUAGAAAUCAUGCUUUUAUGACAUAAUAAGUCCUAAAUGACUAUUCCAUGUUCUAAGUUUAUGUUCAACGUGAUCCCCAUGCUAUUGUCUUGAAUUGAAG